rnacentral:rRNA from 1 species
AGUGAACGCUGGCGGUAGGCCUAACACAUGCAAGUCGAACGACAGCACAGUAAGAGCUUGCUCUUACGGGUGGCGAGUGGCGGACGGGUGAGGAAUACAUCGGAAUCUACUUUUUCGUGGGGGAUAACGUAGGGAAACUUACGCUAAUACCGCAUACGACCUACGGGUGAAAGCAGGGGAUCUUCGGACCUUGCGCGUUUGAAUGAGCCGAUGUCGGAUUAGCUAGUUGGCGGGGUAAAGGCCCACCAAGGCGACGAUCCGUAGCUGGUCUGAGAGGAUGAUCAGCCACACUGGAACUGAGACACGGUCCAGACUCCUACGGGAGGCAGCAGUGGGGAAUAUUGGACAAUGGGCGCAAGCCUGAUCCAGCCAUACCGCGUGGGUGAAGAAGGCCUUCGGGUUGUAAAGCCCUUUUGUUGGGAAAGAAAAGCAGCAGGUUAAUACCCCGCUGUUCUGACGGUACCCAAAGAAUAAGCACCGGCUAACUUCGUG